AUGCGGAGCAGUCGGGCGCGCAACGUAUCUGGGCGCAGAACGCUGGCUAAAAUGCCGAGUGAACCUUUAACGAGGAGCACGGAGGCGCACAGCCUCAUGGAGCAGUGCCGCUGGUCCAGCGAGGAGAACCGCACCGAGCCGCGCGUGCCGGCGCAGCUGGAACCCGCCCAGUGCCUUUUCCUGUCCAUGCUGCCAGACGGGCACGCGGUCACGGCGCUGACCUGCACGUUUGUGUCGGUGACGCUUUUCUCCCUUCUGGUCAACGGACUGACGCUGUUCGGUCUCCGCCGCUCGGAGGAUCUCUCCUGGGAGCCGCGCUUCGCCUUCCUCAGGAAUCUGAUUUGGAGCGACCUGAUGCAGACGGCCAACUUCGGUCCGGCCGUCACCUACUCGCUGCUCCAACGCCGAACGAUGGCGUUCAGCGCUUGGUGCAGGGUGCAGUACUUCUUUGGGACCGUCAGCAUUUUCUCCAGCCUCGUCACCAUCACCUGCAUGGCCCUGGAGCGCUACCUGUACGUGUGCCACGCGCUCAGCUACUUGGUGAUUCUAACGCGGCCGCGUCUGCGCCUGGUCAUCAGCUUCAUUUGGAUCUACUCCGUCUCGGUCGGUACCGCCGGUAUGAUUUUGCUGCCCACGGUCAACGGCCAAACUUCUGACCCGUUCACCCAGGGGCUGCUCUGCGAGCCGGACACCGUGGAGCAGCACCUGGGCUUCCCACGCGCCUCCGCUGUUUUUCGGAAAGCCGUGGGCUCCUUCACGCUGCUGCUGUGCCUGUGCGUUUACGUGUUCUCCUACUUGAGGAUGUACCGCGCCGCGCGCAACGCGGUGGUGCCGUUCAACGCGGUCAACACCACGGCGCGCAAGACCGUGAUGUUCUACUGCGGCAUGCUCCUCAUCCAGCUGCUGCCGCUGCUGCUGAAGGUCGCCACCGACGUCCUGUGGGAGGUCGAGGGCACCGUGACGCUCGCGUCGCCGCCGCACCGGAGCGAGGGCGCGCGCCGAGCGGAGGCGAGCGGCGACGAGGCGGAGAAGGCGGCCGUUUUGCACAUGUCCCUGCUCGUGCUGCUCACGGUGCCACCGUGCAUCAACCCGCUGGUGUACGGGCUGAGGAACGCGGAGAUGAGGCGCGCGCUGCCCCACGUGUUCUGGAGGAGGAACGCGGCAGUGCGCGCGGCGGAGGUCGACGGCGACGCGGUGCGUCCAGACCGAGCUCAGGGGAGGUAG
rnacentral:lncRNA from 1 species